rnacentral:rRNA from 1 species
UUCGCUAGUAAUCGCGCAUCAGCCAUGGCGCGGUGAAUACGUUCCCGGGCCUUGUACACACCGCCCGUCAAGCCAUGGGAGCCGGGGGUGCCUGAAGUUCGUGACCGCAAGGAGCGUCCUAAGGUAAAACCGGUGACUGGGGCUAAGUCGUAACAAGGUACC